CCUACGGGUGGCAGCAGUGGGGGAUAUUGCACAAUGGGGGGAACCCUGAUGCAGCGACGCCGCGUGGGUGAAGAAGCGCCUCGGCGCGUAAAGCCCUGUCAGCAGGGAAGAAAAUGACGGUACCUGAAGAAGACGCCCCGGCUAACUACGUGCCAGCAGCCGCGGUAAUACGUAGGGGGCAAGCGUUAUCCGGAUUUACUGGGUGUAAAGGGGGCGCAGACGGCGGUGCAAGCCAGGGGUGAAAGCCCGGGGCUCAACCCCGUGACUGCGCUUGGAACUGCGUGGCUGGAGUGCAGGAGGGGCAGGCGGAAUUCCUGGUGUAGCGGUGAAAUGCGUAGAUAUCAGGAGGAACACCGGUGGCGAAGGCGGCCUGCUGGACUGCAACUGACGUUGAGGCCCGAAAGCGUGGGGAGCAAACAGGAUUAGAUACCCGAGUAGUC
rnacentral:rRNA from 1 species